GGGCCCGCACAAGCGGUGGAGCAUGUGGUUUAAUUCGAUGAUACGCGAGGAACCUUACCAGGGCUUAAAUGUAGUAUGACCGGCUUGGAAACAGGCCUUCUCUUCGGAGCAGAUUACAAGGUGCUGCAUGGUUGUCGUCAGCUCGUGCCGUGAGGUGUUAGGUUAAGUCCUGCAACGAGCGCAACCCCUAUUCUUAGUUGCCAGCGGUUCGGCCGGGGACUCUAAGAAGACUGCCAGCGCAAGCUGAGAGGAAGGUGGGGAUGACGUCAAAUCAUCACGGCCCUUACGUCCUGGGCUACACACGUGCUACAAUGGUAGAGACAGAGGGCAGCCACCUGGUGACAGGGAGCGAAUCCUUAAACUCUAUCUCAGUUCGGAUUGUCGUCUGCAACUCGACGGCAUGAAGUCGGAAUCGCUAGUAAUCG
rnacentral:rRNA from 1 species